AGCGGGGUGGGGUAGCCAGGAUAUCCCGUCGGGCUCAUAACCCGAAGAUCAAUAGUUCAAAUCUAUUCCCCGCUA
rnacentral:tRNA from 1 species